GGGUAACCUGCCCUCAAGACGAGGAUAACCGUUGGAAACGAUGGCUAAGACUGGAUAGGAAUACGGGAGGCAUCUUCUGUAUUUUAAAAGACCUGGCAACAGGUAUGCUUGAGGAGGGGCCUGCGGCGCAUUAGUUAGUUGGUGAGGUGAUGGCUCACCAAGACGAUGAUGCGUAGCCGGACUGAGAGGUUGAACGGCCACAUUGGGACUGAGAGACGGCCCAAACUCCUACGGGAGGCAGCAGUAGGGAAUUUUCGGCAAUGGGGGAAACCCUGACCGAGCAACGCCGCGUGAACGACGAAGUACUUCGGUAUGUAAAGUUCUUUUAAGAGGGAAGAAUGGCCCGUGGAAAAGCGGGCGUGACGGUACCUUUUGAAUAAGCCCCGGCUAACUAUGUGCCAGCCGCAGC
rnacentral:rRNA from 1 species